rnacentral:rRNA from 1 species
AAUGAACGUUGGCGGCGUGGAUUAGGCAUGCAAGUCGAGCGACAAGGUCAGUUGGAUCCCUUCGGGGUGAAGCCUGACUGGAGGAGCGGCAAACGGGGUAGUAAUGCGUCGGAACGCACCUACGGGACCGGGAUAGCUGAGGGAAACUUCAGGUAAUACCGGAUAAUCUCUACGGAGCAAAUGGCCAACCGCCUGUGGACCGGCCGACGUGAUACCAGCUUGUUGGUGAGGUAAUGGCUCACCAAGGCUAAGACGUCUAGGGGGUGUGAGAGCAUGGCCCCCACCACUGGGACUGAGACACUGCCCAGACACCUACGGGUGGCUGCAGUCGAGAAUCUUCGGCAAUGGGCGAAAGCCUGACCGAGCGACGCCGCGUGCGGGAUGAAGGCCCUUGGGUUGUAAACCGCUGUCAGGGGGGAGGAAAGGAACUUGACCGAGCCCCAGAGGAAGCACGGGCUAAGUACGUG